GAGAAUGCCGGUGUGAGUAGCGAAAGACGGGUGAGAAUCCCGUCCACCGAUUGACUAAGGUUUCCAGAGGAAGGCUCGUCCGCUCUGGGUUAGUCGGGUCCUAAGCUGAGGCCGACAGGCGUAGGCGAUGGAUAACAGGUUGAUAUUCCUGUACCACCUAUAAUCGUUUUAAUCGAUGGGGGGACGCAGUAGGAUAGGCGAAGCGUGCGAUUGGAUUGCACGUCUAAGCAGUAAGGCUGAGUAUUAGGCAAAUCCGGUACUCGUUAAGGCUGAGCUGUGAUGGGGAGAAGACAUUGUGUCUUCGAGUCGUUGAUUUCACACUGCCGAGAAAAGCCUCUAGAUAGAAAAUAGGUGCCCGUACCGCAAACCGACACAGGUAGUCAAGAUGAGAAUUCUAAGGUGAGCGAGCGAACUCUCGUUAAGGAACUCGGCAAAAUGACCCCGUAACUUCGGGAGAAGGGGUGCUCUUUAGGGUUAACGCCCAGAAGAGCCGCAGUGAAUAGGCCCAAGCGACUGUUUAUCAAAAACACAGGUCUCUGCUAAACCGUAAGGUGAUGUAUAGGGGCUGACGCCUGCCCGGUGCUGGAAGGUUAAGAGGAGUGGUUAGCUUCUGCGAAGCUACGAAUCGAAGCCCCAGUAAACGGCGGCCGUAACUAUAACGGUCCUAAGGUAGCGAAAUUCCUUGUCGGGUAAGUUCCGACCCGCACGAAAGGCGUAACGAUUUGGGCACUGUCUCAACGAGAGACUCGGUGAAAUCAUAGUACCUGUGAAGAUGCAGGUUACCCGCGACAGGACGGAAAGACCCCGUGGAGCUUUACUGUAGCCUGAUAUUGAAAUUCGGCACAGCUUGUACAGGAUAGGUAGGAGCCUUUGAAACGUGAGCGCUAGCUUACGUGGAGGCGCUGGUGGGAUACUACCCUAGCUGUGUUGGCU
rnacentral:rRNA from 1 species